GGGGAAAGCCAACUAUAUACACUUCUGGUUGGAUAGGGGGAAAUAGUCACUAUCCGUUUUCAUGUACUUUGAUCUUUUGAAGUUCAAUCGUUGUUCUUGCCUGCAAGUUUACUAGCUGUGACAAAACUUGGGAAGCUAGCUGGUUUGCAUGCAUGUGUUACGCCUCUAGCAGUAAAAUUUUCUCUCUCUAUAAUUAUUACAGGAAGUCAAAUUAGUCAAUUGAUAACUAUUUUUAUGAAGAGGGUAUGUAGGAGGUGUCCUUUUUGCGAAGGUCGAAGGUCAUAUCAUAGAUUUGCAGGGAUGUCCAUCUUGCAUCCUACAUAUAUACUAUAUACAUAAUAGUUAUGGAUGUUCUAGACUUUGAAUGAAUAAAUAAAAAAGUCCUUGUGUAGUAGGUAUACAUUUCUGAAAUAGAAUGUAAAAAAAGUUGUUCAAUUGUUGCCAUAUAAAUUUACUUUUGGGUCAAGAGCAUGCAGCGCAAUCAAUUUGAUGAAUGAGUUAAAUACCGGCCGGUAAUAGUAAAAUUGUCUCUAAUUUGUGAAUUUUUGAGAGGGAGGAAAAAUGUGAUCCAAUUCACAACACACAGGAUACAAGUACCAUUAAUAUCAGAAAUAAAACCACUAUAGGAUUGGAGGCUUGUUACUUAAAUAAAUGCUCUUUUACACUGAAAAUCUCCCACAAGAUUAUGAAGCCCUAUUUUUAGCUGCUCCAUUGAUAAGGUGAAGUAGGUUAGUAUCUCCAAGAAGAAGAAAAAGACUCUCCCAAAUGGGGUGGCUAUUUUCAGAAUCCUGCCUUCUGGGUUUGCUUUGUGUGAUCUAAUCUCGGCACACUUCUAAUUAGAGCCAGGCUGGUCAUGGUUGCAUUAGUGGGUGAUUUAUACACAGCCGGCACCAGAAGAGACAAAUUAAUGUAUGUACGUGUGUACUAAGCAUUGUUUGUAGGUUAUUUUUAAUGUUGCCAAUAUCAUCCUAAUUAUGGAAACUAACAGGAAGGGGGGGGGGGUCUUUAAAAAUCUUUUUCCUCUAGACUGAACAGGUUUCUGAGAGAAUGUGUGUAUUUUCAAAGUUGACCUGAGAGAU
rnacentral:sRNA from 1 species